GUGUUGUAUGGAAUGAGAAAAGAAUAGUACUCCCAUUGAGAAGAAUGGAAGAGGUCUUAGAGACCUUUCCAACACAUACAUAAUUAAGGCAUUGCCACCCACUCUGUGAUGUCUAGUCAUGUUUUUUU